UUUCCAUAGGUGAACCUGCGGAAGGAUCAUUAUUGUAUAACCGAGGUGCGAGGGCUGUCGCUGACCCGAAAGGUCGUGCACGCCCGAGUGCCCUCACACACAUCCAUCUCACCCCUUUGUGCACCACCGCGUGGGUCCCCCUUUGGCUUGUUCGGAGGGGGGCUUACGUUUUCACACAAACUUUGUAUGCAGUGUAGAAUGUAUUUUUUGUUUUUGCGAUCACGCAAUCAAUACAACUUUCAACAACGGAUCUCUUGGCUCUC
rnacentral:misc_RNA from 1 species